rnacentral:rRNA from 1 species
GAUGAACGCUGGCGGCGUGCCUAAUACAUGCAAGUCGAGCGAACAGACGAGGAGCUUGCUCCUCUGACGUUAGCCGCGGACGGGUGAGUAACACGUGGAUAACCUACCUAUAAGACUGGGAUAACUUCGGGAAACCGGAGCUAAUACCGGAUAAUAUAUUGAACCGCAUGGUUCAAUAGUGAAAGACGGUUUUGCUGUCACUUAUAGAUGGAUCCGCGCCGCAUUAGCUAGUUGGUAAGGUAACGGCUUACCAAGGCAACGAUGCGUAGCCGACCUGAGAGGGGGAUCGGCCACACGGGAACUGGGACACGGUCCAGACGCCUACGGGAGGCAGCAGUAGGGAAUCUUCCGCAAUGGGCGAAAGCCUGACGGAGCAACGCCGCGUGAGUGAUGAAGGUCUUCGGAUCGUAAAACUCUGUUAUUAGUGAAGAACAAAUGUGUAAGUAACUAUGCACGUCUUGACGGUACCUAAUCAGAAAGCCACGGCUAACUACGUG